UUCCAGUCUGGCAGUAAGAGAGGGAAAGGCGAAGUUCACGAGCCACGAUUGGCCGCGCCUGGUCGCGCCUCAUAUGACGUCAGAGACAGAGACCAAUGGGAGUCCAAGGACAGCCUCGCGGGAAGACGGCAGGGGAGGCCGAUGAAAGUUGGUCUAAAUAUGGCAGAAGGGCCACCUGAAAGAGAUUUCUGCCACAUCGAAGCAAGGAAGCGACAGGCAUCUGACCUGUAAGCCAGGCAGACACCGUGAUUGGAGGCUUCAAGCCAGGCUUGUCAGCACCUAAACAACAAGACUGAAAACCAAACACCAGAGUGGACAAAGAGCACCUCUGAAUUCGUGCUGGACCAGAGAUGUGAGGACCAGACAUCUCCUGCUUCUCCUCGUCCUGGCACCUUACACAUUCGCUAACCAGACACAGCCCUGGGGAAGGGCGCUGGUCUUCCAUGAUAAGAUUAUUGUCCCUGGCAGCUGAGUGGGCCUUAAAGUAAAAAUAAAGUUCAGUUACAGAAAAAAAAAUUCCAAUUUUUCCACAUUUGAGUUUGUAGACUGAAGUUCAUUCCUGCUACAACAGUAUCACCUGUAUUAUGACCUGAAACUGAAGUCGCUCAGUCGUGUCCGACUCUUUGCAACCCCAUGGACUGUAGCUUACCACGCUCCUCUGUCCAUGGGAUUUUCCAGCCAAGAGGACUGGAGUGGGUUGCCAUUUCCUUCUCCAGAGGAUCUUCCCAACCCAGGGAUUGAAACCAGGUCUCCCGUAUAGUAGGCAGACGCUUUACCGUCUGAGCCACCAGGGAAGUCAUCUGUAUUAUAUAGUAACCGAAAAUGCUCAGGUUUUAUUAUGAGAAUUUCCCCUUCCUCAGAGAUCAUGAGGUUUUCAUUAACAUUUUUAUUUGGGGCCUGUAGUUGACAAGAACAAAGCUGAGGAAAACCAACAAACACUGUCCUACUUGGCGUCGUCACCUCACUGGUUAUGAGCUCCUCUGGAACAGAGUCCGACACCCCACCCUGACCCCUGCCUCGGCCCUAGUAACACAGUGCUUACGCUUACUACUAAGCCCACACUCCAGAGCCUGUGGGAUGCAACUACUGAGCCCAUGUGCUGCAAUUACUGAAGCCCAUGAGCUUAGAGCUGGUGCUCCACAAGAGAAGCCACCGCAAUGAGAAGCUCGCACACCACAACCAGAGAAAGCCUUUGUGCAGCAAGGAAGACUCAGCACAGUCAAAAAUAAAUAAGUAUCAUAAAUGAAGUUAAUUGAUAAUUCCUUUGAAAAUUUUCUUUUGAUAUUCUUAAAUAUGACAAAUCAAAACAACAUGAGGAGUAUAGAAUUAGCCAGGUGCAGAUCUUUGCCUGUUUAUGGAUUAGUUACAUACAGCUGCCAGACAUGUGAAAUAGACUUCUCAAAAACUUCAGGAAGAAGGUUUGUAAGUGGAAUAACGUGCACGUGUGGAGUUUGCCAUUUUAAGAAUCUUAUGACAAAUUUUUUCAAAAAGGAAAUAACUAUUUCUGAAU